GACGAACGCUGGCGGCGUGCUUAACACAUGCAAGUCGAACGAAGAGCGAUGGAAGCUUGCUUCUAUCAAUCUUAGUGGCGAACGGGUGAGUAACGCGUAAUCAACCUGCCCUUCAGAGGGGGACAACAGUUGGAAACGACUGCUCAUACCGCAUACGAUCUAAUCUCGGCAUCGAGGAUAGAUGAAAGGUGGCCUCUACAUGUAAGCUAUCGCUGAAGGAGGGGAUUGCGUCUGAUUAGCUAGUUGGAGGGGUAACGGCCCACCAAGGCGAUGAUCAGUAGCCGGUCUGGGAGGAUGAACGGCCACAUUGGGACUGAGACACGGCCCAGACUCCUACGGGAGGCAGCAGUGGGGAAUCUUCCGCAAUGGACGAAAGUCUGACGGAGCAACGCCGCGUGAGGGAUGACGGCCUUCGGGUUGUAAAGCUCUGUUAAUCGGGACGAAAGGCCUUCUUGCGAAUAGUGAGAAGGAUUGACGGUACCGGAAUAGAAAGCCACGGCUAACUACGUG
rnacentral:rRNA from 1 species